CCUUUUUUCACCGUUGAUUCACGUUUGACUCCACUGUAGUUAGACGUCCACCCAAACAUUCUCUGAAAUUGCUCCUGAUAAGGAUACUAAUCAUUUUCUAAUUGCCUUGGCCAAAAAAUACAUCCCAGGUCUUAUUUCAUUUUGUUUGUUGGCGACAUUUAGCCCUUUCUUCUUUGACCUUCCCAGGAUUUCCAGAGCACCCUUCCCUUCUUUCCUGACUCCUUUGCUUGGUAUCCUGAUUCCUUUCCUACCAUUCUAAGCCCUCUUCUUUUCAUUAUAAUAUGAUCUUCUUGUAUGACCUCCACUAUAUCCAUAGGUUCAUGUUUCAACUUUUAACUUAUUUCUUCAAAAUCUCUAACCUGUCUCGAGCCGUAGAUGUUACCUGUGUACUACUGGACAUCUCUCAGAAACCUGGGUGUGUCCCUCCGCAGUUCUUUUAACUAAAUGAUCAACAGUCCUGUUACUUCUAUCACUUUUGUGUUCCUCCUGUCCAUACUCUGUCACCUCUAUCAUGUCUCAUGUCUCUCCUAAACAAUUAAUUUUCCUACCUACAGUUCUGAUCCAUGCCAACCUAUUGCCUACUCUGAAGUUCAGGUCCCUCUGGCUGCAACAUGGAGUAUAUUGUAGGAGGGUACCAUUGCCUGCAGUGAGGCGUUAAGGACGCAGCAUGGAUGAGAGAUGAGGAAAGCUGAAAUGAAACAGAGGCAGGAGAAAUGGAGAGGAGGACAUGGCCUUGAGGAAUUUCCAGGACAUAAAUUUGGCAUCACUUCUUGGACCAUGAGAGGAAGAGGGAGCAGGAAGAAUCAAAGAUGAAUCCAAGAAUGAACAAAUCUAAUUUUUGAAAUAAUGCAAUGAAAAGUAGAACUGGUCUGUUUUCCUAGGUAAGGAAUUUGUCUGCAAGUCGAUAUUCACGAGGAUUAAUUGUAUUUAUUUUCUGAGUAUGGACAAUUUAAAUGCUGGGCCCUGAAGGGAAACCCAUCUCUCAGAAUAACUAAAGCCCAAUUUCAGAGUGAGCCUGAACAGGCUCCCCACUCCACCCUGGCCCACUGGGGACACAACAGGAGAGGAUGGUGAAAUAGAGGUAGUUUGUGUGAUUUGCCCAGAGUCCCAUGAAGAAUUCACAGAAGAAUUGAGACUACAGUCAGUAUGGCCACAUUCCCAGAGAACUGCUUUUUCUGCCAUACCCUGUGGUAAUAAUAUUGUCACAAGACAAUUGGACAGUGUUUCACAUAUUCAGUGAUGGAAGAAGAGUUUAAUUGAAAUAAAUAAAUGUCAGGAAAAAUUAAUUCGAUUGUGAUAACACUUAAGGAAUGGAGUGUUCACUCUCUAGGAGAAGUUGGGCUAAAUGAUGAAAUGGAGUGUCCGUGUAUGUGAUCUGUGGUGCUGUUUUGCUGUAGUUAAUUCCUAUUUUUAACUUGAAAUGUGUUCUGACUGCGUUAGUGCCAAUUUUUUUGAGACCGGUGUACCUAUCCUAUCAGGUACAUUCGAUUUACACAAGUACAUUCUCUUUUCAGUUCUCCCACCACUUCUCUUUAUUCAAACAAUUAAAACCUUCUUGAAUAUUAUUUGGUUAGUCCUUUGAGUUAAUGAAUCAAUUUUACAGGAUCUGCUUCUGUCAUUUUUCAUUAACAUUCCCCAGACAAAUUUGUACUGCUUACUAA
rnacentral:lncRNA from 10 species